AACAAAAACAUGGCUGUGUGGUUUAUUAGUAUAGAGUCUAGCCUGCCCACUGAGUAUUUAAAGGGCUGCGGUAAUUUGACCGUGCAAAGGUAGCAUAAUCAGUAGUCUUUUAAUUGAAGGCUUGAAUGAACGGCUGGAUAAGGGAAAAGCUGUCUUUUUUCAAAUUAGAAUUUGACUUUUAAGUGAAAAGGCUUAAAUUAUUUAAGGGGACGAUAAGACCCUAUAAAACUUAAUAAAAGGUUUAUUUUAACUUUGAAUUAUAUUAAAAAGUUGUGAAAUUCUCUUUUUAUUUUGUUGGGGCGACAUUGAUAUAAGUUGUAACUGUCUUAAUAAUAGUAUAAUUAUCAUUAUAAAUUGAUCCUUUUUUAGGGAUAGAAAGUAUAAGUUACUUUAGGGAUAACAGCGUGAUUUUUUCUGAGAGUUCUUAUCGAAGAAAAUAGUUGCGACCUCGAUGUUGAAUUAAAAUUUCAUGCAGGUGUAGCCGCUUGCUGUGUAGGUCUGUUCGACCUUUAAAAUUUUACGUGAUCUGGU
rnacentral:rRNA from 1 species